rnacentral:rRNA from 1 species
UAACACGUAGGAGACAAGCGUUAUUCGGAUUUACUGGGCGUAAAGCGCGUGCAGGCGGUCUGACAAGUUGGAUGUGAAAGCUCCUGGCUUAACUGGGAGAGGUCGUUCAAAACUAUCAGACUAGAGAGUGGUAGAGGAAGGCGGAAUUCCGGGUGUAGUGGUGAAAUGCGUAGAUAUCCGGAGGAACACCAGUGGCGAAAGCGGCCUUCUGGACCAAUUCUGACGCUCAGACGCGAAAGCUAGGGUAGCGAACGGGAUUAGAGACCCCGGUAGUCCUAGCCGUAAACGAUGUAGACUUGGCGUUGGUGGGGUAAAAUCCAUCAGUGCCGAAGCAAACGCGAUAAGUCUACCGCCUGGGGACUACGGCCGCAAGGUUAAAACUCAAAGGAAUUGACGG